AUAUCAGUCAUGCAUAGCAUAUCAAUAAGCGGAGGAAAAGAAACUAACAAGGAUUCCCUUAGUAACGGCGAGUGAAGCGGGAAGAGCUCAAAUUUGAAAUCUUCAAGGUUUUACCUUGACGAAUUGUAGUUUAAAGAAGUGUUUUCUGUUGAAGUUUUGGUAAAAGUUCUUUGGAAUAGGACAUCAUAGAGGGUGAGAAUCCCGUAUUUGACCAUUACUUUCAGCUUUGUGAUACACUUUCAAAGAGUCGGAUUGUCUGGGAAUGCAGUCCAGAAUGGGUGGUAAAUUUCAUCUAAAGCUAAAUAUUGGCGAGAGACCGAUAGCGAACAAGUACCGUGAGGGAAAGAUGAAAAGAACUUUGAAAAGAGAGUUAAACAGUACGUGAAAUUGUCAAAAGGGAAGCGUUUGACACCAGUGUUGUUUUCUCGAAAAUCAAUUAAAAAGAGUUGGAUUUUGUGUUGUAUUGACUUUAUCAGCUUUCUUCACUCUUUUCCAGCUUUUUUUAAUGCACUUUUCGUUUAACAAGUCAACAUCAGUUUCUUUUGUUGUAAAAAGGUCAUUGGAAGGUGGCUUUCUCUUCGGAGAAAGUGUUUAUAGCCUUUGACUCAUGCAAUCGGAGAGACUGAGGUCUGCAGCGUAGAUCCUUCGGGGUUAGAUACAUUUGUGCUAAGUUAUAGCUUUUCAUAGACAACUUGUUGACUAUGUUUAGUCUUGUAGCUUACUCGCUUAUGCUAUUUUACCUACGCUUAGGAUGUUGAACUCUAUCACACACAG
rnacentral:rRNA from 1 species